UACGUAGGGUGCGAGCGUUAAUCGGAGUUACUGGGCGUAAAGAGUGCGUAGGCGGUUUCGUAAGUUUGGUGUGAAAUCUCCCGGCUUAACUGGGAGGGUGCGCCGAAAACUGCGAGGCUGGAGUGUGGGAAAGGUAGGCGGAAUUCCUGGUGUAGCGGUGAAAUGCGUAGAUAUCAGGAGGAACACCGGCGGUGUAGACGGCUUACUAGACCAUGACUGACGCUGAGGCACGAAAGCGUGGGUAGCAAACAGG
rnacentral:rRNA from 1 species